AGGACGGCAGUCAAAAAAACCCAACCGGCGCUGCUGUUUAGGGUUCUUCUUCAUGUCUCCGGUACUGUGCGCUGCUAUUUAGGGUUCUGCAUGCCCUCCAAGGGUUGUUCUGGUUUCUGUUGCGAUUAAGGGAUUUCGUGUCGCCUCUAAUGGUUGAUCCAGAUGCUGCUGCGAUUCAGAGCAAAUUAUUAAUUCAAGUCUUUCUCUGCACCACUAUGGCGAUUGAAUCUCCAUUUAUUCAAUGGACUAUUGAAAAGCAUCCAACAUAUGAACAUGGUGUUUCCAAGUUUUAUUACCUUCUUGCUCUUUUGGGAGCAAAUUCCUGAUACCAUUAUUCAGCAAGUAGUGUCUAAUAUGGCUGAAUUGGAAGCAACCCUCAGUGACUUCUGACAUGGAAUCAAGAAAUAUAGUUUUUGAGCCUAUUUCUAGAGGGAGGGGGUCUUCAAAUUUGAUUGUACUUCGGACUAUAGGAAUGCGGCAUUACUGAAUGUCUCUUUUAUUAAUUCCAAAGAUCGGGAUACAUUGUAUCCAAUGAUGGGUAGUCAACAAGUUCCUUCUUAUACCCCUACUUUUGAAUGUAUUCAUGGACAACAAAUUGUUCAAU